rnacentral:rRNA from 1 species
GACGAACGCUGGCGGCGUGCUUUACACAUGCAAGUCGAACGGAAAGGCCCUGCUUUUGUUGGGUGCUCGAGUGGCGGACGGGUGAGUAACACGUGAGUAACCUGCCCUUGACUUUGGGAUAGCUUCAGGAAACUGGGGCUAAUACCAGAUAGAAUCUCCUUCUGCAUGGUGGGGGUUGGAAAAUUUCGGCGGUGGGGGAUUGACUCGCGGGUUUUCAGCCUGUUGGUGGGGUAGUGGCUUACCAGGGCUUUGACGGGUAGCCGGCUUGAGAGGGUGACCGGCCACAUUGGGACUGCGAUACGGACCAGACUCCUACGGGAGGCAGCAGUGGGGAAUAUUGCACAAUGGGCGGAAGCCUGAGGCAGCAACGCCGCGUGCGGGAUGACGGCCUUCGGGUUAUAAACCGCUUUCGCCUGUGACGAAGAGCGAGUGACGGUAAUGGGUAAAGAAGCACCGGCUAACUACGUG